CUACUACUGAUGAGUCUCAGGCUAGGACGAAACAGCUGUUCAGUAC
rnacentral:hammerhead_ribozyme from 1 species